ACCACUACACCCACCUCUCUACCCAUAAAAAAAUUAUCAUCCACCCAGUUACAAGAACGAAGAGCAGCCGAUUUAUGCUACAACUGUGAUGAAAAAAAUUUCCCUGGUCACAAGUGUAUCACAAAACGUUUCUUAUUGCUACUUACUGAAGAACCUACACUAGAAGCACACCCAGACACCUUCCCUGCCUUCGAUACUAUCUCGACUCUGAGGACCCUAAUCCAGUCAACCUAUCUCUCCAGGCCUUGUCUGGAACCCCUUCGGCCCACACCUUCAAACUUCAGUGAUUUAUUCAUCAUACACCCGUUACCAUUUUAAUAGACACCGGGAGUUCACACAAUAUCCUCCAACCUCGCCUAGCCCAUCACCCCUAGCCCAUCACCUCAACCUUUGCACCCUUCCUAUUAAACCUUUUUCCAUCAUGGUUGGAAACGGCGAGAAAAUUCAUUGCACACAUCUCAACCCAACAGUUCCUGUUUCUAUACAUAAUCAUUAUUUUUCCAUCUACCUCAUUCCAAUUGAAGGCGCGGAUGUAGUCCUAGGAAUGGACUGGUUACGUUGUCUUGGACCCUUACAAGCAGAUUUCUCUACACUACAACUGUCUUUCCAUCACCAAGGCACCAUCAUAACCCUAGUUGGAACCAACAAACUCUUAGACACACACGCUUCUGUCACCAAUAUUUGUCACCUCCUACAUACCAAAGCCAUAACAUCACUUCAUUUGCUCACUUUCCAACCGGAUCCCUUACCAGGCUCCAACCCUUCCCCACAAAAUAUACACCCCAAGAUUCAAAACAUCCUCCACACAUACCAUUCAGUUUUCUCACCUCCUCACGGUUUACCUCCCCACUGCCCCUACAACAAUCACAUUCCCUUGAUCCCAAACUUUACCCCCAUAAAUAUCAAACCCUACCGCUACCCCCACACCCACAAACACACUAUGACUUCUCUCAUUCAAGAAAUGUUGUAUGAGGGCAUCAUCCGCCCAAGUACCAGCCAUUUCUCCUCCACAGUCAUACUCAUAAAAAAAAAAGAUUUCUCAUUCCUACGAUUGAGGAACUCUUAGAUGAAUUAAUUGAGGCACUAGUGUUCACUAAGCUUGACCUACAAGCUGGCUAUCACCAAAUACGUGUACACCCCACAGACUGCCACAAGACAGCUUUUUGGACCUUUGAUGGUCAUUAUGAGUUUUUAGUUAUGCCAUUUGGCUUAUCUAAUGCUCCAUCUACCUUUCAAGCUGCAAUGAAUGACCUCCUCCAACCAUACCUAAGGCGUUUUCUACUAGUUUUCUUUGAUGACAUCUUAAUCUACAGUACAUCCAUGACAUACCACAUUCAACCUCUCACCAUUAUUCUCCAAUUACUUCAGACUCAUUAGUUUUUUGUUAAGGAAUCAAAAUGCAAUUUUGCAGCCCCUACAGUUGCCUAUUUGGGCCAUAUCAUUCAACAGGGAACGGUUUCCCCAGAUCCAGAAAAGAUUCAAGCUAUUCUACAGUGGUCCGAGCCCAAAUCAUUCACUAUGCUGCGUGCAUUUUUGGCCAUUACGGGGUUUUACCGGAAAUUCAUCUGCGGUUAUGCCACUCUUGCCUAUCCACUCACGAAUUUACUCAAAUUGAAAGUUUUUACAUGGAAUCAAAAUGCCAACACAACCUUUACACAGUUCAAAAAUAUCCUAACUACACCCCCCUUCUUGCACCUCCCUGACUUCAUCCUCCCUUUUAUAGUGGAAACGGACGCUUCCAAUUCCGCCAUCGGAGCCGUUUUAUCUCAAGCUAGGCACCCUAUUGCCUUCUUCAGUAAGAAGCUUUGUCUAAAGAAACAAAACAAUCCAGUUUAUGUUAAAGAGAUGCUAGCAAUUACUGAAUCUGUUAAGAAAUGGAGACACUAUCUUAUUGGAAAUCACUUUCAAAUUAUCACAAACCAACAAAGUUUAAGGGGAUUACUUACCAGUGCUUGUCAUACACCGGAACAACAAAAAUGGGCUUCACGACUUAUUGGGUACAAUUUUGAUAUCCUCUAUCGACCCGGACGUCACAACCAAGCUGCAAAUUUUCUUUCCAGGCCACCAUCCUCAGUUUUUUUAGCCAUCUGCUCCCCAGUACCAUAGAUUAUCACAAAAUUAAAGAAAUACUAUCAGACAGCAACUGGACAGCAAGAAAAAAACAAACGGAUAGGUAUUCCCAACUUAGAUUUCAAUUUUCACAAGGACUUACUGUACCAUGGUCAGAGACUUUACAUUCCAUCAACAACCAAUCUCCGCCCAUCCAUUCUUCACGAGUUUCAUGCAACCCCAUUCGCAGGGCAUCCCGGUCUCAAAGCCACUCCAACUCGUUUAACUGCCUCUUUCUAUUGGCCAGGUAUGUACAUGGACACAAAAACGUUCAUCGGAGAGUGUCUUCCCUGUCAACAGAAUAAACCCAUCAACACAAAGCCCCUAGGAUUAUUACAACCCAUACCCCCUCCAACUAGAAUUUGGGAUGAACUAACAACUGAUUUUAUCACUCACUUACCAUCAUCGUUCGACCAUACAUUUAUUUGGGUGGUUUGUGAUCGACUUUCAAAAUCAGCUCAUUUCAUAGCCCUCCCCACGUCCUUCACCGCCUCUCAACUAGCCAAUCGUUUUUCUAUGGAGAUUUGCAAGUUACAUGGUAUUCCGAAAUCCAUAAUAUCAGACCGAGACCCGCUCUUUCUCAAUAACUUUUGGAAGGAGCUAUUUCACCUACAAGGAACAAAAUUGAAAUACAGUACAUCUUAUCAUCCUCAAACCGACGGUCAGACCGAGGUUAUCAAAAGAAGUUUAGAAAUAUACCUCCGCUGUUUCACCAGUGACAAUCUGCGAAGUUGGUACAAAUACUUGCACCUAGCCGAGUUUUGGUACAAUUCUUCUUAUCAUUCGGCCAUAAAAACAACCCCGUUCCAAGCACUCUAUGGAAGACCACCACCAUCCAUCCCGGAUUAUAUAUCGAGCACCACAUCGGAACCCAAUCUGGACACCACCCUUCAAGAGCGAACGCAAAUUCUGCACCAGUUGAAGACCAAUUUCGCCUUGUCGCAACAACGCAUGGCCAAAACAGAAAACGUCGGACGACGUCAUCACGUGUUUACCGACGGCGAUUGAGUACUGCUCCGUCGACAGGCUUACCGCCAAACAUCCCUCACUGGUUUCCCUCACCACUAGCUUACCCGAAAAUUUUAUGGCCCAUACCCGAUUACAAAACUCUCUCCCACUGGAUUCCAAGAUUCACCCAGUAUUUCACAUUUCUCUCUUCAAACCUUAUCAUGGACCAAAACCCCCUCUACCCCACCACCCUCACAGCCCGGAAAGAAGCCCAUCCCUUUCUCACUCGUCCAACACAAACCACAAAAUAACUCUAAGUGAAACUUCACUUCCACCCAUAAACUCACCUAACAGUGCAUUGAACUCACCUACACCAGCCACGUGUCCUCCAUCAAUGACCCUCAUUAAACCCCUUCACCAACCACCCACCUCUGCUUCAC
rnacentral:lncRNA from 1 species